GAAUCCAGAACAAAACUUGAAGUUCUACAUGCAUAUCUGCUUUGUUUCCUGUUUGGAUGGCAGUCAACAGUAUGUUGUCACUUACUGUGAAACUUAGAUAUGAUUAACUGGUUGAGAAAAUAAGAUUCAGGUUUAAAGUAGUUGAACUAGGUGAAAACAGAGAUAACAGGUGAGAAUCGAUGAAAUGGAAAUGUCAAGGAUUACAUUUAUUUGUAGAAUAACAGUUGGGACAAUGUCAGAUGAAACAUACACAGUAAAGAGACCAAACAAUGUCUGUGUGACAGUGGCAGUGUUUAAUUGCAUGGAGAUGAGGAGCAGUUGUGGUUCAUUAAUUAGUCUGGGGAGAGUGAGUGAGCAGAGUGUCCAUGGAGAUGGACAGCUUGGUGGAGAAGGACGUGAGACAUGAACCGUGAUUCUAAACAAGUCUAGCAGGUUUACAGUCCAGUAAAUGUUAUCUAGGUGCAGAGAAAACGAAACUCUUCUAAGAGAAAAUGACAACGCAGCCUAGAAGUAGGAACUGCUGAUUAUUUGCUCCCACAAUAAAAGCUAUGGAUUCCAAUGAGACAUCUAAAGGACCAAAAUCAAAUAUGUCAAGGGGCUUAACUUUUUUGAACUACUUGCUAUCUGCACUACUUAAGAUAGCACUACUUAUCUUGGCUGGAUCAGUGGUGUGCCAGAUGCCUAUGCAACAAAA